rnacentral:rRNA from 1 species
CCUACGGGAGGCUGCAGUGGGGAAUAUUGGACAAUGGGGGGAACCCUGAUCCAGCCAUGCCGCGUGUGUGAAGAAGGCCCUCGGGUUGUAAAGCACUUUCAGUGAGGAAGAACGCCUGGUGGUUAAUACCCAUCAGGAAAGACAUCACUCACAGAAGAAGCACCGGCUAACUCCGUGCCAGCAGCCGCGGUAAUACGGAGGGGGCGAGCGUUAAUCGGAAUUACUGGGCGUAAAGCGCGCGUAGGUGGCUUGAUAAGCCGGUUGUGAAAGCCCCGGGCUCAACCUGGGAACGGCAUCCGGAACUGUCAAGCUAGAGUGCAGGAGAGGAAGGUGGAAUUCCCGGUGUAGCGGUGAAAUGCGUAGAGAUCGGGAGGAAUACCAGUGGCGAAGGCGGCCUUCUGGACUGACACUGACACUGAGGUGCGAAAGCGUGGGUAGCAAACAGGAUUAGAUACCCCAGUAGUC